AAAUGAAUUGACGGGGGCCCGCACAAGCGGUGGAGCAUGUGGUUUAAUUCGAUGCAACGCGAAGAACCUUACCAGGGCUUGACAUCCUGCGAACCCGGUGGAAACACCGGGGUGCCCUUCGGGGAGCGCAGAGACAGGUGGUGCAUGGUUGUCGUCAGCUCGUGUCGUGAGAUGUUGGGUUAAGUCCCGCAACGAGCGCAACCCUUACACUUAGUUGCCAUCACGUAAAGGUGGGCACUCUAAGGGGACUGCCGGUGACAAACCGGAGGAAGGUGGGGAUGACGUCAAAUCAUCAUGCCCUUUAUGUCCUGGGCUACACACGUGCUACAAUGGCCGGCACAGAGGGUUGCGAAGGAGCGAUCUGUAGCUAAUCCCACAAAGCCGGUCCCAGUUCGAAUUGCAGGCUGCAAUUCGCCUGCAUGAAGUCGGAAUCGCUAGUAAUCGCGGAUCAGAAUGCCGCGGUGAAUACGUUCCCGGGCCUUGUACACACCGCCCGU
rnacentral:rRNA from 1 species